CCUGCUCACAGACGUUGUAGUUCUUACGCCAAGCGACGAAAUAAAACUACAACGUCUGUGAGCAGG